CGACGCGCGUCCCCGGCAUCGGGGAUGCGCCAAAGGUCCGCCGCCGUGGGACGGGCCGUCGUGGUAUUAGGUAGUUGGCGGGGUAACGGCCCACCAAGCCGACGAUGCCUACCGGGCGUGCGAGCGUGGCCCGGCACACUGGGACUGAGACACUGCCCAGACUCCUACGGGAGGCUGCAGUCGAGAAUCUUCGGCAAUGGGCGCAAGCCUGACCGAGCGACGCCGCGUGGAGGACGAAGGCCUUCGGGUUGUAAACUCCUGUCGGAGGGGAAGAAGGGGGCCUCACGGUCCCUUGACUGAUCCUCGGAGGAAGCACGGGCUAAGUUCGUGCCAGCAGCCGCGGUAAGACGAACCGUGCGAACGUUAUUCGGAAUUAUUGGGCUUAAAGCGCGUGUAGGCGGGUGGGCGCGUCGGUCGCUGAAAGCCCCCGGGCUCAAC
rnacentral:rRNA from 1 species